rnacentral:rRNA from 1 species
GAUGAACGCUGGCGGCGUGCUUAACACAUGCAAGUCGAACGAUGAACCUCACUUGUGGGGGGAUUAGUGGCGAACGGGUGAGUAACACGUGAGUAACCUGCCCUUAACUCUGGGAUAAGCCUGGGAAACUGGGUCUAAUACCGGAUAUGACUCCUCAUCGCAUGGUGGGGGGUGGAAAGCUUUAUUGUGGUUUUGGAUGGACUCGCGGCCUAUCAGCUUGUUGGUGAGGUAAUGGCUCACCAAGGCGACGACGGGUAGCCGGCCUGAGAGGGUGACCGGCCACACUGGGACUGAGACACGGCCCAGACUCCUACGGGAGGCAGCAGUGGGGAAUAUUGCACAAUGGGCGAAAGCCUGAUGCAGCGACGCCGCGUGAGGGAUGACGGCCCUCGGGUUGUAAACCUCUUUCAGUAGGGAAGAAGCGAAAGUGACGGUACCUGCAGAAGAAGCGCCGGCUAACUACGUGCCAG